rnacentral:rRNA from 1 species
AUUGAACGCUGGCGGCAGGCCUAACACAUGCAAGUCGAACGAGUGGCGGACGGGUGAGUAAUGUCUGGGAAACUGCCCGAUGGUGGGGGAUAACUACUGGAAACGGUAGCUAAUAUCGCAUACCAUCGGAUGUGCCCAGAUGGGAUUAGCGAGUAGGUGGGGUAACGGCUCACCUAGGCGACGAUCCCUAGCUGGUCUGAGAGGAUGACCAGCCACACUGGAAAGGAGACACGGGCCAGAGUCCAACGGGAGGCAGCAGUGGGGAAUAUGGCACAAUGGGCGCAAGCCGGAUGCAGCAAUGCCGCGUGUAUGAAGAAGGACGGCGGGUUGUAAAGUACUUUCAGCGAGGAGGCGUUACGCGCAGAAGAAGAACCGGCUAACUCCGUGCCAGCAGCCGCGGUAAUUC